GUAUUCCAUGUAUAUUCAUGAUCAAGAAAAGUUACGUCCCUUUUCCGAAGUGAAAGUACAAAUUUGUGAAUUGUGAUUUGGAUAUUUUGAGCUGAUUUAAGUCUUAAAAUCAACUAGAAUUUUUCAUUUCACACUUAAGUGUUUGUGGUAGAUCGUUAUGCUCUUGGUGGGAAGCUUUCAAUGAUGAUGUAUCAGUGGAUUUACGUUGCGAUCGUGAUUACAACAAGGAUAACUUGUAUGCAAACACUUCUGGGAAGAUUAGCCGAAAAAGAAACACACAGGUGUCAUUAAAUGUGUCCAAUGCCGUUGUCAUAACAAUUCAGAUCCCUCUGACUGUCCGGGGUGCAUAUUCAAGAUUGGAUGUUCUAAAUGAAAUUAAGACAGAAAUGUUUUUUUGUGAGGAAUGUAUAAGACUCAGCAUCAUCAUAUGACAGCACAGUUGUGGGUCAUUAAAAUUUAUACGGAUCCAACAUGGCUGUAACUUUUUUAAAGAUUGUUCAGUUGAAAUGUGUCCACUGAGAAAAUCAUAGAGGCUCAGACUGCCGGAGCAUACUUGAUGACCUGUUUUUGAAUUUCCCACCCCCUUUCAUGGAUGGAACUGUACUCAACUGAACAAUGCAACUGUACAUGUUCAUAGUUGACUGAAAAAUACUGAUAUAUGUGCAGAAACAAAUAUUGUGUGUAAGUCAUUAUUUACAAACUCAUUUUUAGAUAAAGCUUGAACAUAUAA